UGUGAACGUUACCAAACUGUUGCCUCGGCGGGAUCUCUGCCCCGGGUGCGUCGCAGCCCCGGACCAAGGCGCCCGCCGGAGGACCAACCAAAACUCUUAUUGUAUACCCCCUCGCGGGUUUUUUUAUAAUCUGAGCCUUCUCGGCGCCUCUCGUAGGCGUUUCGAAAAUGAAUCAAAACUUUCAACAACGGAUCUCUUGGUUCUGGCAUCGAUGAAGAACGCAGCGAAAUGCGAUAAGUAAUGUGAAUUGCAGAAUUCAGUGAAUCAUCGAAUCUUUGAACGCACAUUGCGCCCGCCAGUAUUCUGGCGGGCAUGCCUGUCCGAGCGUCAUUUCAACCCUCGAACCCCUCCGGGGGGUCGGCGUUGGGGAUCGGCCCUGCCUUGGCGGUGGCCGUCUCCGAAAUACAGUGGCGGUCUCGCCGCAGCCUCUCCUGCGCAGUAGUUUGCACACUCGCAUCGGGAGCGCGGCGCGUCCACAGCCGUUAAACACCCAACUUCUGAAAUGUUGACCUCGGAUCAGGUAGGAAUACCCGCUGAACUUAAGCAUAUCAAUAAGCGGAGGAA
rnacentral:rRNA from 1 species